UGCACCUAAAAGCGUUUUCUUGCCAGCCUGUUAAAUGCUCUUGAAAAUCGUAGAUGUGUGCAAUAUCAAUCUUCACAAUAGCAAGUGAUUUUUGUUCUUUAACUCUAAUCCGUUUACAUUGUGAACAGAC
rnacentral:snoRNA from 1 species